rnacentral:tRNA from 1 species
GUUUUAAUAGUUAAAAUAAAACAUUGGUCUUGUAAACCAAAGAUAUUAGUAACUAUAACUCUUUAAAACU